rnacentral:rRNA from 1 species
GACGAACGCUGGCGGCGUGCUUAACACAUGCAAGUCGAACGGUGAACGAGGGAGCUUGCUCCCUCCGGAUCAGUGGCGAACGGGUGAGUAACACGUGAGCAAUCUGCCUCGAACUCUGGGAUAAGCGUUGGAAACGACGUCUAAUACCGGAUACGACGCGGGAGGGCAUCCUCUCCGCGUGGAAAGAACUUCGGUUCGGGCUGAGCUCGCGGCCUAUCCGCUUGUUGGUGAGGUAACGGCUCACCAAGGCGCCGACGGGUAGCCGGCCUGCGAGGGUGACCGGCCACACUGGGACUGAGACACGGCCCAGACUCCUACGGGAGGCAGCAGUGGGGAAUAUUGCACAAUGGGCGCAAGCCUGAUGCAGCAACGCCGCGUGAGGGACGACGGCCUUCGGGUUGUAAACCUCUUUUAGCAGAGAAGAAGCGAAAGUGACGGUACCUGCAGAAAAAGCACCGGCUAACUACGUG